GAUGAACGCUGGCGGCGUGCCUAACACAUGCAAGUCGAAUGGGAAUCUUCGGAUUCUAGUGGCGGACGGGUGAGUAACGCGUACGAAUCUAACUUCAGGACGGGGACAACAGUUGGAAACGACUGCUAAUACCCGAUAUGCCGCAAGGUGAAACGUAAUUGGCCUGAAGAAGAGCUUGCGUCUGAUUAGCUAGUUGGUGGGGUAAAAGCCUAACAAGGCGACGAUCAGUAGCUGGUCUGAGAGGAUGAGCAGCCAAACUGGGACUGAGACACGGCCCAGACUCCAACGGGAGGCAGCAGUGGGGAAUUUUCCGCAAUGGGCGAAAGCCUGACGGAGCAACGCCGCGUGAGGGGGGAAGGUCUUUGGAUUGUAAACCUCUUUUCUCAAGGAAGAAGUUCUGACGGUACUUGAGGAAUCAGCCUCGGCUAACUCCGUGCCAGCAGCCGCCGUAAAAC
rnacentral:rRNA from 1 species